GACGAACGCUGGCGGCGUGCCUAAUACAUGCCAGUAGAACGCUGAAGGAGGAGCUUGCUUCUCUGGAUGAGUUGCGAACGGGUGAGUAACGCGUAGGUAACCUGCCUGGUAGCGGGGGAUAACUAUUGGAAACGAUAGCUAAUACCGCAUAAUAGUAGAUGUUGCAUGACAUUUGCUUAAAAGGUGCAAUUGCAUCACUACCAGAUGGACCUGCGUUGUAUUAGCUAGUUGGUGGGGUAACGGCUCACCAAGGCGACGAUACAUAGCCGACCUGAGAGGGUGAUCGGCCACACUGGGACUGAGACACGGCCCAGACGCCGACGGGAGGCAGCAGUAGGGAAUCUUCGGCAAUGGACGGAAGUCUGACCGAGCAACGCCGCGUGAGUGAAGAAGGGUUUCGGAUCGUAAAGCUCUGUUGUAAGAGAAGAACGAGUGUGAGAGUGGAAAGUUCACACUGUGACGGUAUCUUACCAGAAAUGGACGGCUAACUACGUG
rnacentral:rRNA from 1 species